rnacentral:rRNA from 1 species
AACGAACGCUGGCGGCAUGCCUAACACAUGCAAGUCGAACGAGACCUUCGGGUCUAGUGGCGCACGGGUGCGUAACGCGUGGGAACCUGCCCUUAGGUUCGGAAUAACUCCCCGAAAGGGGUGCUAAUACCGGCUAAUGUCUUCGGACCAAAGAUUUAUCGCCUUUGGAUGGGCCCGCGUUGGCUUAGCUAGUUGGUAGGGUAAAACCCUACCACGGCGACGAUCCAUAGCUGGUCUGAGAGGAUGAUCAGCCACACUGGGACUGAGACACGGCCCAGAAUCCUACGGGAGGCAGCAGUGGGGAAUAUUGGACAAUGGGCGAAAGCCUGAUCCAGCAAUGCCGCGUGAGUGAUGAAGGCCUUAGGGUUGUAAAGCUCUUUUACCCGGGAUGAUAAUGACAGUACCGGGAGAAUAAGCUCCGGCUAACUCCGUG